CCCUUAGAUGCUCUGGGCCGCACGCGCGCUACACUGAUGCAUUCAACGAGCCUAUCCUUGACCGACAGGUCCGGGUAAUCUUUGAAUCUGCAUCGUGACGGGGAUAGAUUAUUGCAAUUAUUAAUCUUCAACGAGGAAUGCCUAGUAGGCGCAAGUCAUCAGCUUGCGUCGAUUACGUCCCUGCCCUUUGUACACACCGCCCGUCGCUCCUACCGAUUGGGUGUGCUGGUGAAAUGUUCGGAUCGGCCGUUUGUCGCGGUUUCCGCGUCAUGUGGCUGAGAAGUUCAUUAAACCCUCCCACCUAGAGGAAGGAGAAGUCGUAACA
rnacentral:rRNA from 1 species